CACGUACUGUGCAAACGUUAUUCGGAAUCACUGGGCUUAAAGGGUGCGUAGGCGGCUGAUUAAGUAGGGUGUGAAAUCCCUCGGCUCAACCGAGGAAUGGCACUCUAAACUGGUCAGCUUGAGUGAGAUAGGGGUGUGCGGAACUUCCGGUGGAGCGGUGAAAUGUGUUGAUAUCGGAAGGAACGCCGGUAGCGAAAGCGGCACACUGGGUCUCAACUGACGCUGAGGCACGAAAGCCAGGGUAGCGAACGGG
rnacentral:rRNA from 1 species